CACGCUUUACGCUCUUGCUCUAUUUCUGUUCUCUGUUCCUUAUAUGUAAAAGCAACAGUAAAGUUAAACAGUUCAAUUCAAAAGAAGUGAUAUCUCAUUAACGGGCUGUGACCUUUUUCAUUAUAUCUCAAUUAUUAAACUAGAAAACUAUAGAAAACUUGUAUAUUGGCUUAUGAUAUUUUGGUCUGACUGCAAAGCAGAACACCAUUUUUAGAAGUUAUCGAAUAUACAUAUGUAUACUCGGAUUUACAUUGUUUUGUUUUAAGAGUUGGUAAACAUUUUCAGUGUUAAAUUAUCUCUAAAAGGUGUACUUUAACUACAAAUCACUCGUUAAUAAAGUACAGAAACGUUUAAAAAUUGUGACUUUCGGGUAAAUUUAGAAUUUUCAAUUUUCUUUUAGAGUUAGCUCACGUAUUUAUUAAAAAGUUAGACUACAGACACUUUUUAGAUAAAAUGUACUUUAUUCUUCUCGUGAUAUAUUGGAUAUAACAUAAAUAUAAAAAUCAAAAAGAAUUUACUCAAAUAAUGUAUUAGUAAAACUAAAAGACUUUUUGGUAAAAAACGAAAUAAAAUAAAAUGCAAUAAUUUGUUAAUUAAGUUUUAUUAGUAGAAUAAUAAAUAAAAUGUUAGAAAUAUUCUAAGAAGUUUGCAAAAAUGUAUACUAAUAAAGCAGUUAAGAGUUUUUUUUUGUAAUUUGAUGGCAUGCGAAUGUUUUUUGACGAAAAAGUUCUUAAAAUUAAUUCAGUUUUGCUUUAAAAAAAAAUAACAAUAAUAACAAUAUAAAAACGUAGAAACAGUAUUUAGAGAGAAAAAAGUCAGAAACAGUAUUUAAAAAGUAAAAAAAAAAAUUAAGCAAAAGUGUUAAUAGUUAUGUAACCAAUGGACAUCAUUUAAUAAUAUAUCUGCAAUGUUAAUUGAAAAUAAAAAUAUUAUCUAUGUAUUAUUUAGAGUAAAAACCAAUAAAGCACUCUGCAUUUGCACAGUUUUAGUGUCUGGAAACGUAAUUAGUUCUAAUAAAAAAUAAUUAAUUUUUCAGUAUAGUGAAUUCAACAUUUUUAUGUGUAAAUAAAAAAAAAUGAAAUAAUUAAUAAAUUAAAAAUAAAACGAUAAUAAUAUUAAAAAAUUAAAAAAAGAACUAUUUCUGCACGGCAACAUUUGUUGCUUCAGGAUUAAAAUUUUCUACAAAAAAUUGCCACAUGUAAAAGUGAUUUUUGGUAUCGCGAAUAUAGUUAAUGUUAUAAUAACUAUAAGGAAUUUUCCACAUAAACAAACAAAAUUUCAAAUUUGUGGAAUGCUCUCAGUGUCCCGAAAAGCUGUUCUAGAAGUAAUCUAAUUGGUUAAAAGUCUGUAUUUUACUAGCC